UACAGAGGGGGCAAGCGUUGUUCGGAAUUACUGGGCGUAAAGGGCGCGUAGGCGGCCUUCUAAGUCGAACGUGAAAUCCCCGGGCUCAACCCGGGAACUGCGUCCGAUACUGGAAGGCUUGAAUCCGGGAGAGGGAUGUGGAAUUCCAGGUGUAGCGGUGAAAUGCAUAGAUAUCUGGAGGAAUACCGGUGGCGAAGGCGGCAUCCUGGACCGACAUUGACGCUGAGGAGCGAAAGCUAGGGGAGCAAACGGG
rnacentral:rRNA from 1 species